ACAACAGUUGGACCGUUGGUCUACUGAGCUAUUUCUUCGGCUUGGUGGGAGAUCUUUCCUUUGUCGU
rnacentral:pre_miRNA from 1 species